GAGAGAAGAAGAGAGAAUGUCGGAUAGGUGGAGGGUUUGGGAGGAGAGAAUGAUGCCGAACGGGUGGGCUUUUGGAGAGGAGAGGAGGGCCGAUGGGUGAGUUUGGGAGGAGAGGAAAAGGGUAGGAGGGGAAAGGGGUUUGGGGGAGAGGAGGAGGGGUGGUGGGGUGUUUGGGGGGAGAGGAGGAUUGAGGGGUUUGGGGUUUAGGAGAAGAGGAGGAUGAGUUAGGGA
rnacentral:lncRNA from 1 species